UGAGGAACAUGACUUUCGGUGGGGGAUAGCCGGCCCAACGGCCCCGGGUAAUACCGCGUACGACCAUUUGGGGACAUCCCCGAGUGGUGAAAGCCGCAAGGCGCCGAUGGAGAACUUCGCGGCCUAUCAGCUAGUAGGUGAGGUAACGGCUCACCAAGGCGACGACGGGUAGCUGGUCUGAGAGGAUGGCCAGCCACAUUGGGACUGAGACACGGCCCAGACUCCUACGGGGAGCAG
rnacentral:rRNA from 1 species